rnacentral:tRNA from 2 species
GCCCGGAUGGUGGAAUUGGUAGACACGACAGACUUAAACUCUGUUGAUCCGAAUGGGUCGUGCGGGUUCAAGUCCCGCUCCGGGUACAA